rnacentral:lncRNA from 13 species
UUUAGAGUCAUCAGCUAGAUUAAGACCCAGAGAGGGGAGUUCCUGUCAGGCAAAGAUGAUACUAUAUAAAAGGAUUUCUCUAGAAAAAAAAAAAAAAAAGAAAGAAGAAGGAGACCUGGCAUGGUGGCUCAUGCCUGUAAUCCCAGCAGUUUGGGAGGCUGAGGUGGCUCAUAGGUGGAAAGGACUUGCCUUGUCUCAGGACACAAAGUUCACCUUCUCUGCCAUGUUGAGGACAUGGCAAAAAGACCCUCUUCAGGCACCAAAUGCUGGCAGCUUGAACUUGGACUUUUCAGACUUCAGAUCUGUCAGAGAUAAGUUUCUGUUCUUUAUAAAUUACCUAGUUUUGAGUAUUUUUAAAUAUCAGCACAAAUGA